rnacentral:rRNA from 1 species
CCCUUAGAUGUUCUGGGCCGCACGCGCGCUACACUGAUGCAUUCAACGAGUCUAAAACCUGCUCUGAUAGGGGUGGGUAAUCUUUUGAAUGUGCAUCGUGAUUGGGAUAGAUGAUUGCAAUUUUUCAUCUUCAACGAGGAAUGCCUAGUAAACGCAAGUCAUCAGCUUGCAUUGAUUACGUCCCUGCCCUUUGUACACACCGCCCGUCGCUCCUACCAAUUGAAUGAUCCGAUGAAUAUCAUGGAUUGAGGAUGUAAGCAGGUUCGCCUGUCUUCAUCUUCGAGAAGUGAAGUAAAUCUUAUCAUUUAGAGGAAGGAGAAGUCGUAACA